rnacentral:rRNA from 1 species
GACGAACGCUGGCGGCGUGCUUAACACAUGCAAGUCGAACGGAAAGGCCCUGCUUUUGUGGGGUGCUCGAGUGGCGAACGGGUGAGUAACACGUGAGUAACCUGCCCUUGACUUUGGGAUAACUUCAGGAAACUGGGGCUAAUACCGGAUAGGAGCUCCUGCUGCAUGGUGGGGGUUGGAAAGUUUCGGCGGUUGGGGAUGGACUCGCGGCUUAUCAGCUUGUUGGUGGGGUAGUGGCUUACCAAGGCUUUGACGGGUAGCCGGCCUGAGAGGGUGACCGGCCACAUUGGGACUGAGAUACGGCCCAGCCUCCUACGGGAGGCAGCAGGGGGGAAUAUUGCACAAUGGGCGGAAGCCUGAUGCAGCCACGCCGCGUGCGGGAUGACGGCCUUCGGGUUGUAAACCGCUUUCGCCUGUGACGAAGCGUGAGUGACGGUAAUGGGUAAAGAAGCACCGGCUAACUACGUG